UACGGGGGGGGCAAGCGUUGUUCGGAAUUACUGGGCGUAAAGGGCUCGUAGGCGGCCAACUAAGUCAGACGUGAAAUCCCUCGGCUUAACCGGGGAACUGCGUCUGAUACUGGAUGGCUUGAGUUCGGGAGAGGGAUGUGGAAUUCCAGGUGUAGCGGUGAAAUGCGUAGAGAUGUGGAGGAACACCGAUGGCGAAGGCAGCCCCCUGGGCUGAGAUUGACGCCCAGGCACGAAAGCGUGGGGAGCAAACAGG
rnacentral:rRNA from 1 species